AAAUAAAUAAAAAUUUAUAUCUUUAAAAUAACAAUAAAAGAAAAUCAAAUAAAAAACUAACAAAAAAAAAAUCAAGUUUAAGGGAGUAGAAAUCAGGAUAGAGAGAGAGAGAGAGAGAGAGAGAGAGAGAGUUUAAUUUUAUUUUUUUAGUUUUUAAAAUUUUUAUUCAUAUUUUAAACAAUUUAAUACAAAAAUACCAUUUCUCC
rnacentral:lncRNA from 1 species